GCGGAAGUGGCGGAAUUGGUAGACGCACUAGAUUUAGGUUCAUGCGCCUGUAAGGUGUGAGAGUUCAAGUCUCUCCUUCCGCA
rnacentral:ncRNA from 19 species